rnacentral:lncRNA from 1 species
UGUGUGGUGAAAUCUUUUAGGAAAAGACUUCUAGAGUGAUCUUAGUGAAGAUCAUGAAGGCAUACAAGUGAUGGUACAAUCAAUUUUUUUGAAGAACGAUCGGCUGCGAGCUUAGGAAGAAGGCUGCAGCACCAUGACGAAUUUGGAAAGGGCCUGAUCAAUCUCGUGUGGAUCACCAUUGAAGGGCUUCUACUUUGAAGCCUCAUAGAGGUCUUAAGAUUACUAGUUCAUGAUCUUCA